AACUCAAAUCAAUCCAAACUUGAUUGCUAAUUAUUUUAUCCAUUCAAUCAUCUUAUAGCAAGCAACAUUGCAUAUAUAUCCAAUUCAAUCAACUCAUAUGCACCCAAAUGAAUGUGAUCAACAAAGAUAUACCUUGGUUAGCUCAUGACCAUCCAUAUAGCAAGCUCCUACUCAUAAUUGCAAGCCAUUAAAUAAUCCAAUAAAUCACCACAACUUGAAUAUUUGCACUUGUAUGUUAUAGCACUUGGACUUCACUUAUUUGACUUGGCAUUG
rnacentral:lncRNA from 1 species